UCAAACACACCUACUAAACCUGGUAAUUAGCUAAUUAAGUGUUUGAGCUGGGAAAUCUGCAAACUGUGUUGGAUUCUGGCCCUCCAGGACCAGAACUGGGGAACCUUAUUCUAUAUGCAGUAAAAAUGGGGUCCCCAAAUUUUUGACGACCACGGACUGGUUUAGUUUGUGCGAAAAAAAUCAUGGACUGAUAAAAAAAAAAAGAUGUGGCUGAAAAUCAUAUACGCCUAAUUUAUUUUGAAAAUUAAGCAACCGCCCGGUGUCAGCUCAUGGACCGGGCUUUAGAAACUGCUACACCAUACGCAUAACAGAUAUCUGUACACUUGAACAACUGGAGCACCACACACGCAUGCUCAUAAUAGGAGAACUUCAGAUGUUACAGAUGUCCUCUGUGAUAAAGUUGUUAAUGUUCUACUUGCACUAGACUACACACAUUACGCACCUGUACAAACGCUAUAAACACACCACAAACGUAUACCAUUUCUGUAUUGCUCCAACACAAAGACAUUCACUAAAAUUCACAUUCAGAUAAAUUUCUUGUAUUCUAGCGAUAUGUGCUUAUAAAUAUUCAUAUUCACAUUUGCAUUUACAGUAAUUUAAUUACACUGAAACCACUUGCAUAACGUCACCUACUGAUGUUAUAGGUUUACUGGUUUAUACGGUUCAGGUAAAAUCUCUUGCUUUCGGGCAUGGCAGCAAGCACACAUACACGAUAAGCCCAACGUGUGUGUUGCCACCUUGGGCAGAGCAGCAAGGAGAGCGAUGGGGUGCUGUGGGAUUUGGUAUUGGGGGUGACUUAGGGAAGGACAAUUGUACCAACACACACCCACAUACUGGCGGCCCUCAUAAGCCCAUAUUUAACAGCUCUGCAGCAUGGCUCCAGUCGGAGUCUCUCUCCAGUGCACUUUGUCAUUACUUUAGCGCACCCCGUCAUCACCGCUCUCCUUAAAGAACACAGCCUGUGUUGCCAAACGUCAGGUCUCAUCACUAUAUUCCCUCUCUGAAUCAUAAGCCUCCGGGGACCCUCCCGCUUCUCCACCUCCUCCUCCUCCUUCUCCCCUUCAUUUUGCUUUUGUUUCAUCUCGAGGUCGAGUUUCCUUCCAUUUUUCUGCUUUCGAGCUUUCCCUCCUGCUGCCAUCCACUGAACACGGAGUAUAAACAGUGGCCGCAGUCACAUUUUAUUAUGCGCUCGCACUGUGUGCCAAAGCUACAGUCUGGAGCUGGAUGCUGCACUGUCCAAAUGCUUUAUGUGUGUGUGUGUGUGUGUAUGUGUAUAUAUAUAUAUACACACACACACACACACUAUUGUGAUUAUGUGUUCAUUCAUAUCUUCCCUAAUUGCUUACCCAGUACAGCACAGUGAGCCUGGACCCUACCCCAGGAAGCACAGGGCACGAGCCAGGGACAUCCUUGGUUGGGGUGGCAGUACAUUGCAGGGCACACAAUGGGCAAUAUAGAGACCCCAGAUCCCUUAAUUACAUACAGAUGCUCUGCAGCUUACAAUGCAACUUUCCGAUGAGCACAUCGUAAGUUCAUAUGACACGCUUGGGCAUUUAGCAGACAAGGGGAACAUUUGGUUAAAAGCAGAAAAAAAUGCUGUAUGAUACAUCCUUAAACACUGUAUGAGAUGUUCACACUUGCAAUCAUAACAGAGACUGGAAGUGUGACUGGGUGGAUACUGCCAUCGCUUGGCAUCAGUAGAAAGUAUCCUACGGCAUAUUGCUUGCCCAGGAACAGAUCGAAAUUCAAAGUUUGGUAAUUACUGAAUAUACAUCACUAUUUCGCCAUCAUUUAGUAGAAAUGUUGUAGUUCGAACCAUCCUAAAGUCGGGGACAUCUGUAUUUUCGGGCUGCAACAGACCACACGAUGUGCCGAAAGUAGAAGGUCCACACAUAGAGUGGACCUCUUAGGAUCUUAUGAUAUACAUGUAUAUGCAUGUGAUGUCAGAAUUUUGGCAUAUGUAGGUUCUGCUUCUCACUGAAUCACAUGACCUCCAAUGGAGGGACAAGAAACAGAGAUGAGCCAGGAGCGAGACUAACAGAAAAUGGCCGGUGAGUGAUGGUUAUUUGAGGUGACCUCAUCAUCAUCAGGAUGGCCGUGUGAGUCACCAGGCAUCACCGGGAUGGGAAGGCGCAAGACUUUGAGACAGGAGAACAGACUGGCACUUGAGUCAGUUCUGCAGAUGGAAGAUGGAGAGAGCAAGUGCAAUAACAAAAACUAAGGGAUUACAAGUGGAAUUCACAGGUUCAGGACUCGGAUCUGACUUGGAUACAGAAGAGGAAUUAUUCUUUUGAAAAAUGAAAGAGUCCAAAUGUGGAUGGAGGUGGUCCAUUUUGCACAUCGAUGGGCUUUCCUGACAAACCUCGCCACGCACGCUCCAAGAGUCAAGGGCAACCUUAAUGGAGAUUCGCUUCUCUCAAGCAAGGCCUGUAUUUCAAUGGAUUUGGUGGAAUACAGCCACAUGUACACAAAAAGAUGCUCUUCACAGCAGGGAAGACCCUGGAGCAAAGAAUGGAUUCGUCCAAAAAAUAAAGCAAAAUUUAAAAGAAGAAGCAAACCACCAUACUGGGAGUGUCAUUGCAGCAUGCCAAUAUUCAGCUAAACGUGACACCAGUGAAACAGUGCAAAUAAAAUCUGCAAAGCAAGCGGCUAGACAACAGCAAUGACCUCAGCAGUCAGCACCCCACCCCGUCUGGGCCCAGCCCAUCCAGGAAACGUCGCCCAGGCAGGAGCCGCUCUCAUAAAUCAUGCCCCCCAGGCUUUCCCUCUGUGCAGCCGCAGGCCAAUUGGGGACCGGCUUUGGGGACGCCCCCAUUUUCCACACAUGGACCGGAAGCAGCUUACCGAAUGGCACGAGCCAGACUCAUGCUGCAAUUGAAAUAGAAUUAUAAUAGAAGAAUAAUGAAUGAAAUAAGUCAACAGCACAGGACUGUUUCGCUUACGCAGCUUGGCACAUUGCGACAGGAAUGUCUGACAAGUUUCCUAAUAUGCAACUCUUACGAUGUUGCCUUUCAUCAUAUGCGACUAGCCCAGAUCGCAUGGAGGCAUGAAGCAGACCCACGCUUGCCUCCGCUGCCUACGGCCACUUCAUUUGAGGGAAUGCGGCGUUACCACUAAAGUACACAUCACUGUGUUUCCUUGCUGGCCUGCAGCAGGCACAUCCUGCUGUGAACCAUCCCACCCAGCUGGGCCACAUCACCGUAUGGGCAGGAAACAACUUGGAUGCUAAAUGCCACAGCGUCAGACCAGAGAAGAGUUUGCCCUGAAAUGAAAUCUGCUGUUUUUUUCCAGAAAAAAGGACAAUAUUCCCCCAAAGCAAAGAGAAGCCUUUAUAUGUGAUAAUUACCAGUAUUCUCUCAUUAGUCCACAGUGCUACAUUAUUUAUGAAUGUCAGUUUAGCAUUCCUUGUUGUUAUGGCCUUCUCUCCGGCAUAAUCAGUCUGCAUCCCCAGGCUGGCUGUAACUGCAGUGUAACUCAAUACAUGCUCCUGAACUGGUAUCGGACUGAUGUUGGUCGCUGUUAUACGAUUGACCUGUUAUACAUCACUUCUGAAUUAUUUGUGAAGAGAAGCCGAAUUUGCGAUUUAGGGUUCUCAAAGGAAUGGCCGUCAGGUUCGAAGGUCAGUGAAUAGAAAUCCGAAUAAACUGACAAAAUAGGUUUUGCUUCAAUUUGCCAGCCAGUAGGACAGUCAUAUCAUAAUGGGCCGAAUGGUCUGACGGUGUUUCAAGAUACGUGAUGGCUUGUAGACAGGAAUGUGUGCCAAUGAAGAGUCUUAAGGUUUGAUAUCUUCUCACAUGGAUGUCUGUGUUAAAGAUUUUCUAUAUAAAGCCGAGGUGUUUUGUCAUUGUGCGCAUACAUUCACAUGUGGGACUUGCUGUUCAAUAAAACUUGCAUUUUAAUUGGGAGAUUUAACUUUUAGAUAAACCCACGUUUAGGUAAAUGCAUGCACACCAUGCCUCAGAACUCUUAAAUUACUGUGUUAUAAUAAUGCUAAUAUAUUAAUAAUAAUCAUUAUAAUAUUAACAACAAUAAUAAUA